rnacentral:rRNA from 1 species
UAAAAUUAAAAAAUUUGGCGGUAUUUUAGUCUUUUCAGAGGAACCUGUUCUAUAAUUGAUAGUCCACGAUUAAUUGUACUUGCUUUAUAAAUUUAUAUAUCGUCGUAGUUUGAAUGUUUUAUAAGAAUAAAUAAUGUUCAUGAUUUAAAAUUAUAAAAUAAAUCAGAUCAAGGUGUAGUUUAUAAGUAAGAAGAAAUGGGUUACAUUUAAAUAAUUAUUGGAUAAUUUUAUGCAAAUGAAGUUUGAAAUUGGAUUUGAAAGUAAAUUUAAUAAUUUAUUUUGAUUGAUUUAAGCUCUAAAAUAUGCACAUAUUGCCCGUCACUUUCGUUUUAAAAUGAGAUAAGUCGUAACAAAGUAGAUUUACUGGAAAGUGAAUCUAGAAG